rnacentral:rRNA from 1 species
GAUGAACGCUGGCGGCGUGCUUAACACAUGCAAGUCGAACGAACUGAUAGGAGCUUGCUCCUUUGAGGUUAGUGGCGGACGGGUGAGUAACGCGUGGGUAACCUGCCCUAUGCAGGGGGAUAACGUUUGGAAACGAACGCUAAUACCGCAUAAACUAUGGUUGUUCGCAUGAACAAUAUAGCAAAGAUUUAUCGGCAUAGGAUGGACCCGCGUUGGAUUAGCUAGUUGGUGGAGAUAACAGCCCACCAAGGCGACGAUCCAUAGCCGGCCUGAGAGGGUGAACCGGCCACAUUGGGACUGAGACACGG